rnacentral:lncRNA from 1 species
AUGGAAUUUUCAACCAUGUUUUCAAUCCACAAUAGCAUCCCUCCCUGUCUACCCCAUGGUGAAAGCCUACCCUGUCUCUCACUGCUGAGACCAACGGAGGAGCUAGUGUGAUGUGUCUCUUAGCGUGUUUCAUGGGCUCUGCUCAUAAUUAAAGCACAGGAUUCUUGGGGGAGAAUUGGCCCUCAGUUGAAUCGCCUUUCUCCUCAGAUGUGUGGGAAGAGCAGAGUGAUUGGGAAAUGGCUUUUUUUUUUCUUCUUUUCACACUUCUUAACGCCCAUCUCAGAAACAAGCUAAACUGCCUAAUAGUCGAAAUUAUAGAAAGUUGUGAGGACAAGGGGCAGAGUCUUGGGGUUCCUCACCUCAUCUCACUUCUGCAGAUCCAGGAACAGGAAGACUGACAGCCUAGUGUCUGUCUCCCUUUAGGUUAGGUAGGCAUUUCAUAGCACAGGUACCAAGACUCAGACAGGAUACAAACCAGAGAGUUCUUAUGAAUAUCCUCUUCAUUUAGACAAGAACUUUUUUUUUCUUUAUAAUUUCUUUGCAAACUGUAACUGUUGACUCUGUCUUCUAUGAAGUGUCUGAUUUACCUCUGAGACAAAGUAUCCUUAGCUGUUCCAGCCCCUUUGUUCAUCCUGAGUGAGCGCUUCUCUGUUACCAUUGCUCUUUCACCUGGGAGCAGCUGCAGGUUGGAGUAGCUGCAGGUCGUUGUCGUGUAUUUUGGCUGCUCCCGAUUCUGACUGACAUCCUCAAGUUGCGUUUCUAUCAUUAGUAAUAGAUUCUCAGAACUGCCACUCAGCUAACUAAGGUUAAAGUCAUUCAUAUAGACUUCAUACCAGGCGUGGUCAACCCCUUGCCCAUGGCCCUAAUACAUCCCAUGACAUCAGUGGCUAUAAAAGUUACAUAUUUAGUAGACCACAACUUUGAAUCUGAAUGUUGAAAGGAUACACUUUUAAUGAGGAACUAGAAAUUUUAGAAAUUAAAAAAAUACCUUAAAGAUGUUCCUCACAAAUAUUAACCUAUAGAGAAACGUUUAGACCAACUUUUUCUGCUCUCAUAUCUAAAUGAGAUAAAAGAAAUCACUAAAAUAAGGACAUUAAGUUAUUUUUCAAAGUCCAUAGAAAUACUGAUUUGAAGGCACCCUUUUGCUGGGGGGGGGGGGGAGACAGUGAUUACCUGGCCCUUCUGUUGCUGUAAUGAGCUAUUUGAACUUGACUAAAUCAUCUAAUAUCGCUGGAGUUCCGAGUCUACAUCUGUAGAAUACGUGGCUGAAAUGAAUGAUCUCAGAAAUCACUUGGAACUUUAAUAUCCUCAUGUUAUUAAUUUUUAUCUGAGGUCUGCCGCUUCAGCUCAGAGAUAACAUCUGUGCGAUGGCCCAGCGCUGGCGCCUAGUAGGUAUCAAGAAACAACACCCAAGGGGAGAUGAGAAAACACGCAGGGUGGAUAGCUGUGCUGGGGUCCUGCUCUGUGACACUGCUGUCUCUGUUCCUCUAGUGUGGUGGGCUCCUUGGGAGACCACUGCUCCCAGCACUGCUGCCCCCCAACCCUAGCACAUCUGAGCUCGCCCGCCGGAGCUCCAUGGCUGUGUGCUUCCUUUUCCCAUGCCCAUCCUCUCUGAUCUCCCUGCAGCAGCCUCUCUGUCCUCCACCCUAAUCUGUGUGGCUAGGCAGCAUACCCAGUGCUGAGGUUUGGACACCCCAGUGUCCCCUUCUUUCUUACAUGUCCUUUUUCCUCAUUUCUUUUAGAGAUGUGUUGAGGAAUGUCUUUAUCAGAAAGGCUAAAUUCAAAAUAUAAAUGUAACACUUUCUUUAUCAUUCUCUACCUUCUUACUGUCUUGUGCAAUUAUUUUCCUCAGGCACUCAUCACUCCUGACAUUAAAUAUUUAUGAUUUAUUGUUCAUAGCUGUUUCUGCCCUGUGGCAUGCAUUAUAUUGUUUGUCAUGGAGAACAUGUUCAAUAACUAGGAGUAAAUAGUGCUUACAGAGCAUAUAUUCUGUUCUAAGGACUGUUCUGGGGAACUUUGUCAUUAUAAUGGCUCUGUGAUAUAGUGUUCUUCUUUGCCCUCCACAUGUGUGUGUAUCUGUGUGCGUAUGCCUGUGCCUAUCUGUGUGUGGUGUGUGCAUGUGUGAGUACAUGUGUGUGUAUUGUAUGUGUGUAUGUGUGUGCAUGUGUGUUGUAUAUAUAGAAGCUGAGACAAAGGUCAGAUCAUAUGAAAAAGGUCCAUGUAGGUACAAAGUAACUAAUGGAGAAGAAAUUGGGGCCUAGGCCAGAAGAAAUGGAAAGAUGAAAUCUAAGGCCUCAUGUACUUCGAAAGGAAGAGUAUACGUUUCUAUUUUUAAAAGGUUGAAAAUGGGCUCUGGAGAUGACUCGGUGGAUAAAGUACUUGCCAGACAACUGUGAGGCCUUGUAUUUGGAUCCUUAGAACCCAUAUGAGUGUUGGGCAGGUGUGCUGGCUUACCUGUCACCUCUGCACACAGAAAGCAGAGACACGUAUGCAUCUUAAGCUCUCCAAAGGAUGCUUUCCCAUCUCUAGAAGAUAGACUAUUAGCUCUGUCACUCUAGGUCACUUCUAAAGCUAGAAGAGAUGCAUUUUCUAAGACAAAAGUCCAGACUUGGCUGCACAUACAGUACACAGUGUCCAAACUGAGUUAUGACUAUCCACGUGACCCCGAAGUGAAUCUUAAUGAACAGCUUAUGAUAGAUAAGCCCCAUUUCCUGAAAAUGACAGUUAAAAGCAGAGGGUGGUGGCCUUUGCUACAUCUAAUUCAUCCCUGGACACAUUCUAUGCAUGGGCACAUUUCCCAUAAAUCCACAGUAUAUCGUUCCUUGACUGCAACGUCACCGUCAAUAUCCUAUGUGUUUUACUAGUUUGUAGCUCUGUCUUAGGCUGCAAGACAAUUCUGAUAUGCCCCCACACAGUUUGUUUUGUUUGCAAAAUAGCCUACAUUCCUAAGAUGUGGUUUCUCAUAAGGACCCAGAUUCUCUCCCGAAACAUUGCACAGCGUGGUUGUUGAACAACCUUUUAUAGGUAGGAGAAUACUUAGAAAGCCAGAGCAUUAAUAUAAAGGGGAAACUACUUCCCUUGCCAGUUGGCUCCAAAGGCUUUUUUGUAGGUAAAUUGUUUGGGACUCCAAGAAUAAUUUCCUAUGGAAAUGUUUAUAAAAUCAGGUGAGGGCUCAGUCAUACAAGAGAAUCCACUUAGCCAUGAUACUGAUGGAACC